rnacentral:lncRNA from 1 species
GAGACAGUGGGUGGGAUGGUUGCGGGCUGAUGGCUUCUGGAAUGGUCUUGGUGGAUGAUGGAGGAGGGGUAAAGAAGGGAGGUAAGGGAGGGGUUCCCCAAGGGAGGGACUUGGCACGGGCGCGCAGCCCUGGUGCCCACCGGCCAUCCAUGCGUCCAUCUCCCUGGUGCCUCCCCGCGGCCAGUGAGGUGGCUCCCUCCUGCCCCCCUCCCCAGGCCCCUCACGGUCACCCCAUCCCGAUGCCGGCAAGCCGGGGGACCCUGCGUGUCCCGAGAUCAAGAUCCAGCUGGAAGCGUCUGAGCAGCACAGCCCGCAGCUGGGCUGUUAGCCAGGCUCCCGCUCUGAAGGUGAAACUGAGCAGACAAGGCCGCAGAAGCACAAGGUGAAGAUGCUAUGGCAAGUCCAGGUGGAUAGGACCUCUGCCCCCAAGGCCAGCACCAGCCUGUGGGCUGCCCCCUGCCCCCACCUUGGCCACCCGGCUGGGCUGUCUCUGCGGGGCGGAGCCAUCCAGACCUGGGAGGGGGAAGCUGCUGGCAUCAUCCCCACUUCCGAGGCUGGGGCAGGCCAUGGUCAGUUGAAGCAGAACACCAGGCCUGGCUUGCCCCCACUCCGGGCCCUUCAUCACACCGGGGUGCCCCUCUGGACUCAUGGGGAGCAAGAUGGGAGGGGAGGAUCGAGAUAUCUCAGUGCGCACAGAGCCGACCGUGGAGGCAGUGGGAUGUGAGAAGAGCACUGGGCUGGGAGUCCUGAGUCCUGGCUUCCAAUUUGGGUUCUGCUGUGUGACUUUGGGCAAGUUGCUGUCCCUCUCUGGGCACCUCUGCUGCAAAUGGACAAGAUUAUUUCAGAGGUCAUUGAAGACUGUGAUUCCAUGCACCUGCCCCAGAAUGGGGGGUUAUCCUCCUAGGGCCCCCCCCAUCUCCCUACCUUGCUUCUUGGGUUCCCUGGGACCCCAGGUGGGCUGAGGGGCUGGGAGCUGGCUAUGCCCGUUGCCCCUCCUGGACCCUCAAGCUCUACCACAGAUCUGCCGAUGCCCUGUCCACUGCCUCCACCUGACAGACAAGUGACCCCCCUUAGGGGAAGGGGGACCUCCCUGGCUUCUCAGCCAGCACCCAGCUUAACCCCUGCCAUCCCAUGCUCUGGGCACUCUAGGUCGAGGGGUCUCAGCUGGCCUAAAGUUGUGGGCUUCGCCUUUGCGCCCCCCGCCCAGCUCCCACGGAGGGGGCAGCCAGGCACAGCUGCUGUGAGCCCACAUCCUUGUGUGUGUCUGUCCACACUUUUUAGGCACCACGCCAAAGGCCAGCCUUCCGGCCCCAACACCCAUUUUUGAAGCCCCUGUGGCUGUGUGUAUGUCAGUAACAGUUGUACAAAAUAAAUUCUAUUUAUCGCUAUUGUACCCCGGGUUG